rnacentral:rRNA from 1 species
GACGAACGCUGGCGGCGUGCCUAAUACAUGCCAGUAGAACGCACAGUUUAUACCGUAGCUUGCUACACCAUAGACUGUGAGUUGCGAACGGGUGAGUAACGCGUAGGUAACCUGCCUGGUAGCGGGGGAUAACUAUUGGAAACGAUAGCUAAUACCGCAUAAUAUUGAUUAUUGCAUGAUAAUUGAUUGAAAGAUGCUAUUGCAUCACUACCAGAUGGACCUGCGUUGUAUUAGCUAGUAGGUGAGGUAACGGCUCACCUAGGCGACGAUACAUAGCCGACCUGAGAGGGUGAUCGGCCACACUGGGGCUGAGACACGGCCCAGACUCCUACGGGAGGCAGCAGUAGGGAAUCUUCGGCAAUGGACGAAAGUCUGACCGAGCAACGCCGCGUGAGUGAAGAAGGUUUUCGGAUCGUAAAGCUCUGUUGUAAGAGAAGAACGGGUGUGAGAGUGGAAAGUUCACACUGUGACGGUAUCUUACCAGAAAGGGACGGCUAACUACGUG